GAUGAACGCUGGCGGCGUGCCUAAUACAUGCAAGUCGAGCGAAUGGAUUAAGAGCUUGCUCUUAUGAAGUUAGCGGCGGACGGGUGAGUAACACGCGGGUAACCUGCCCAUAAGACUGGGAUAACUCCGGGAAACCGGGGCUAAUACCGGAUAACAUUUUGAACCGCAUGGUUCGAAAUUGAAAGGCGGAUUCGGCUGUCACUUAUGGAUGGACCCGCGUCGCAUUAGCUUGUUGGUGAGGUAACGGCUCACCAAGGCAACGAUGCGUAGCCGACCUGAGAGGGUGGUCGGCCACACUGGGACUGAGACACGGCCCAGACUCCUACGGGAGGCAGCAGUAGGGAAUCUUCCGCAAUGGACGAAAGUCUGACGGAGCAACGCCGCGUGAGUGAUGAAGGCUUUCGGGUCGUAAAACUCUGUUGUUAGGGAAGAACAAGUGCUAGUUGAAUAAGCUGGCACCUUGACGGUACCUAGCCAGAAAGCCACGGCUAACUACGUGCCAGCCGCCGCAGUAA
rnacentral:rRNA from 1 species